GAUGAAGAACGUAGCGAAUUGCGAUAAGUAAUGUGAAUUGCAGAUUUUCAGUGAAUCAUCGAAUCUUUGAACGCACAUUGCGCCCCUUGGUAUUCCAUGGGGCAUGCCUGUUCGAGCGUCAUUUGUACCCUCAAGCUAUGCUUGGUGUUGGGUGUUUGUCCUCUCCUUUUGCGAUUGGACUCGCCUUAAAGACAUUGGCAGCCAGUGUAUUGGUCUUGAAGCGCAGCACAUUUUGCGAUUCUUGCUGAUAAUCACUAGCGUCCAGUAAGCCUAUUUUAACACUUUUGACCUCGGAUCAGGUAGGGAUACCCGCUGAACUUAAGCAUAUCAAUAAGCGGAGGA
rnacentral:misc_RNA from 1 species